UUCUUUUUCCCUUCAAUGCAUUAAGCCUUCUUCCUCUCUCUCUCUCUCUCUCUCUCUCUCUCUCUCUCUCUCUCUCUCUCUCUCAUGAUUGCUACUAAUGAGACACUAUGAACCUUUACUCAAUUUUUCUUUUAAUCCUAGUCUGCCAUGAUCUCUUACCAUACUCAAGUUUGGCCACAAGAAAACUACAAGGUAUCUCAUCUCUCUCUCUCUCUCUCUCUCUCUCUCUCUCUCAUACACAAACAACAAUAAUUCUAAUGAUCUCUACUUGACAUAUGCGUCUAUAUGUGUGUGCUUUAGAUGUGGAGGAGACAAAUAAAGUGAGAAAAUCAUCAGCAAAUGAUGAUUUCCAGGACAAGGUGAGGUGAUCAUAUAUACGUAUGCUUUACAAAUCAAUGAAUUACGAUAUGUUUCUCUUAUUUUAUUUCCUGAUGAUCUUUUUGAUUUCAUAAUCUCAACAGCAGUCAUUGUUUGAAGAAGCCACCGAUCAUGUCCAAAGGAAAGUGUUGCACGAAGUACAUUCAGGACCAAAUCCCAUCGGUAAUUCUAUUCCUCAUCAGCACAAGGCCAACACAUCAUUACGAAAAACUCCCUAGUUUCUUCUUUCCAUUGCUAUACAACGUUCCCCAAUGAUUACAGGAGCAAUUAAGCCAUAUUUGCAAAUUUUCUAUUAUAUGCUAAUAAACAUGAUUAUUAUUAUUUUUUAUAUAGCUAGCUAGUGCAAUUAAUGCAUAACAAAAUGAUUAAUUAUCUUCUUAUAAAAUAUAUAUUCUUCUGGU
rnacentral:lncRNA from 1 species